CCCGCAAACAAACCCACACCCACCACUGUUGUCUCACCCACUCUCUCCCCUAUCUCCUCUCCCACUCCGCGUUCCACCGCUCCCUCUCCUAUCUCCUCUCCCACUCCAAGUUCCACCACUCCUUCUCCUAGCUCCGCCCCCACCACUCCCUCUCCUUCUACCCACUCCACCUUAGACCCUAAACAACUCAGAGCCCUCCAAUCUCUAGACAUCCCCACUUCCAAGGACCCUUGCAUACAGCCCUCUCCUCACAACUCCACCAUCUGUGAUUCUGCCUCUCCCUUCCGCCACCUCAUCUCUCUCCACCUCUCCAACUGCUACUCUGACGUUUCUUUCUCCUACACUGCCUUAAAAUCCCUUUCCACUCUGCAAUCUCUCACUUUCACCAACUGUCCC
rnacentral:misc_RNA from 1 species